AGACGUGAAGGUGAUCUGGCUGCGACAUCUGUCACCACAUUGAUCGCCAGGGUUGAUGGGCUGAUCUGGCUGGCUAGGCGGGUGUCCCCUUCCUCUCCAGCUCCAUGUGUUUCCCUCCUGAAGCUGCGCACUAGGUGGAAGAGGACGACCUUCCCCAAAUAGAGGGAAUAGAGGAGGACCGGUCUUCGGUCAAGGUUAUAUGAGUAGCUGGACUCCCCUGCUAGAACCUCCAAACAAGCCAGAAAAAGAACUUCUCACUGAACAUUCAUUUGUGCUUUUUUGCUUCUUUCCAAGUGCAUAGAUUACCAUCUCAA
rfam:Cricetulus griseus cell line CHO-K1, whole genome shotgun sequence.